rnacentral:rRNA from 1 species
GAUGAACGCUGGCGGCGUGCCUAAUACAUGCAAGUCGAGCGAACAGACGAGGAGCUUGCUCCUCUGACGUUAGCGGCGGACGGGUGAGUAACACGUGGAUAACCUACCUAUAAGACUGGGAUAACUUCGGGAAACCGGAGCUAAUACCGGAUAAUAUAUUGAACCGCAUGGUUCAAUAGUGAAAGACGGUUUUGCUGUCACUUAUAGAUGGAUCCGCGCCGCAUUAGCUAGUUGGUAAGGUAACGGCUUACCAAGGCAACGAUGCGUAGCCGACCUGAGAGGGGGAUCGGCCACACUGGAACUGAGACCCGGUCCAGAGUCCUCCGGGAGGCAGCAGUAGGGAAUCUUCCGCAAUGGGCGAAAGCCUGACGGAGCAACGCCGCGUGAGUGAUGAAGGUCUUCGGAUCGUAAAACUCUGUUAUUAGGGAAGAACAAAUGUGUAAGUAACUAUGCACGGCUUGACGGUACCUAAUCAGAAAGCCACGGCUAACUACGUG